AGAGUUUGAUCAUGGCUCAGGAUGAACGCUGGCGGCGCGCCUAACACAUGCAAGUCGAACGGUUAAAGCACCUUCGGGUGUGUAUAAAGUGGCGAACGGCUGAGUAACACGUGGGCAACCUGCCUCUUGCUCUGGGAUAGCCUCGGGAAACCGAGGAUAAUACCGGAUACUCCGUACCUUUCGCAUGGAGGGGACGGGAAAGCGCAUACGGCAAGAGAUGGGCCCGCGGCCUGUUAGCUUGUUGGUGGGGUAACGGCCUACCAAGGCAAUGAUGGGUAGCUGGGUUGAGAGACCGACCAGCCAGAUUGGGACUGAGACACGGCCCAGACUCCUACGGGAGGCAGCAGUGGGGAAUCUUGCACAAUGGGCGAAAGCCUGAUGCAGCGACGCCGCGUGCGGGAUGAAGGCCCUAUGGGUUGUAAACCGCUUUCAGCAGGGAAGAGGCCGCAAGGUGACGGUACCUGCAGAAGAAGCCCCGGCUAACUACGUGCCAGCAGCCGCGGUAAUACGUAGGGGGCAAGCGUUAUCCGGAUUCAUUGGGCGUAAAGCGCUCGUAGGCGGCUUGUUAGGUCGGGAGUCAAAUCCCGGGGCUCAACCCCGGCACGCUUCCGAUACCGGCAGGCUUGAGUUUGGUAGGGGAAAGUGGAAUUCCAAGUGUAGCGGUGGAAUGCGCAGAUAUUUGGAAGAACACCAGUGGCGAAGGCGGCUUUCUGGGCCAUAACUGACGCUGAGGAGCGAAAGCUAGGGGAGCAAACAGGAUUAGAUACCCUGGUAGUCCUAGCCGUAAACGAUGGACACUAGGUGUGGGGGAAUAUUUCUUCCGUGCCGCAGCUAACGCAUUAAGUGUCCCGCCUGGGGAGUACGGCCGCAAGGCUAAAACUCA
rnacentral:rRNA from 1 species